rnacentral:lncRNA from 1 species
GUUUUUUUCAGAGACUCCUUAGUCUCUGGGGCUCUCUUUCCAGCUGGUCACUCAAGACACCUUCCUGAGCCUUUAUAUGAUGAAGGAGCCUCAGACUUACUGUGCUGCGGAGUUUUGCUCUUCAGGCAGCUCUCUUGGGUGGGAUAUCAAAUGACCCCAGCCAGCUUUCUCAGUGGAGCCGCCCAAAUCAGGUCCUUGGGAAACACUCCCACGUUCCCUUUGCCCCUCAAGGUAUCAUGCAGGCCCCUCCCAGCAACCCUCUCAAAAACCUUCUCACCACUAGCCUUUUCUCAGCCUUUGAAACCUCUUUCUAGGUCAAAGAUAGGAGGCCAGCUAGGGUCACAAAACCAGUCUUUGGCAGCCUCCUUCAUAAGGGAGUCUCGAGCAUGACUUGGGAAUCAGCCCGUAUCUAUCCUUCAGCACCCUUUCAAAAUCCUGCAGUGCCUGGUUGUGUGCGCGAUGAAGUUUAGUGCUUCAUGGCUGCUGUGCUUCUAAAGCAGGAAGGCAGCAGAAAGCAAGGAAACACUCAUCCUAAAGGGGAAUACACAACCUGAUAAUUUAACAUUAGCAAAGGUUCGACCCACUCCUCAGGCCCAGAAAGGCUGCCCCAUUGCAGGCUGUAUGGGAUUUUACACCACAAUAGAAAUGAAUAUAUUUGUAUACACCAGGUGUAUACAAAUAACACCCGUAUGGUGCCCCCUGGCUCAUAUUAAUGUCUAGAAACCUGCAUGUGAGAAGAGGUGGUGAUGAUGACUGUGGUUUGGCUGGGCUGUGCACCCCACUUGCCUGGGGAGAGCUUUCCAGAUGGUGAAGCCCCUGCACCCAUCAAUCAAGGUGCAGUCUGAGAACAGAAACCACUUGUUCUUUCAAGCAGAGAAGGAUUCAGGGCAAAGAACUAUUUACCAAGGUAUUGCAAUGGCUGGUGGGUGUGGCUGGAGGGGUGCCAGAGGGGGAAAAUAGAGGAGGGUUAACUAGAGAUGAAGAAGUCAUUACCGACCCGGCUGGCCCCAAGCCUACACCAGCUACCCGUUGCCCCGGGAGCCAGAGGCUGCUGCUGUGGCCAGCAUGGACAGCACUAAACCAAAGCCGCCUCUGUUCUCCACUGCUGGCAGGACCAAGCUGAGACCAGGACCAAAACUGUGGGAUGUGUUGGCCACAUACUUCCAGCCCCACAGCACACAGCAGGCAUGGAGGGCGGGUACAGGGCCCAGCAGGACAGAAAAUCUGCUGGAGCAGAUUCCUGGGAACAGCGUGUCCCUCCUCUUCAGAGGUCUCCUCUUCUUUUCUGAAGCUUUACAGAUAGAUUAUAGAAAAUGACCAGCAUGCAUGAUCCUUGUCUUGUUUCCCAUGUCUAGAAGAAAGCUUGAUCAUCUCAUUAUUAAAGCCAUGAUGACUGUUGAAUUUUAAUAAAGGUACUGUACUGGGUUGCAAAUGAAAGAGAAAUAAGUAUAAAUAUAAAGGAAGAAGAGAACACUAUCCACAGAGAGCAGGAAUUCCAGCCUGGAGUGAAGUAACUGCCAUGAACCACGUGUCUUUCCAAAACAUGCCAGGAAAUUUUGCUAUCCAGAUUCACCUGGACCUCGUAAGUCUCUUUCUGGACCCUUCAAGGACCCUGUCAACAGUGGCUGAAACCAGAAAUGUACCUGAAAGGGCAGCUUCUAGUAGAACUGUAACAGUUUCUGGCCUUUCUGUCUAGGGAGCUUCAGCCCACCUCCAGGAACAGAGACCAUAGAUUGAAGAAGCUGAAAGUCUGCUGGAGAUCUGUUUUUCCAAGAGUGGUUCAAGAAUCAUUAGGGCACUCCAGUAAGAGCUCAUUGUGGCUUUAUUUUUUUAUUUUAUUUUAUUUUAUUUUGAGACGGAGUCUCGCUCUGUUGCCAAGGCU